rnacentral:rRNA from 1 species
UGGGGAAUAUUGCACAAUGGGGGGAAACCCUGAUGCAGCGACGCCGCGUGAGUGAAGAAGUAUUUCGGUAUGUAAAGCUCUAUCAGCAGGGAAGAUAAUGACGGUACCUGACUAAGAAGCCCCGGCUAACUACGUGCCAGCAGCCGCGGUAAUACGUAGGGGGCAAGCGUUAUCCGGACUUACUGGGUGUAAAGGGUGCGUAGGUGGUAUGGUAAGUCAGAAGUGAAAACCCGGGGCUCAACUCCGAGGAUUGCUUUUGAAACUAUCAGACUGGAGUACG